GGGUUGUGAGGUUAAGCGACUAAGCGUACACGGUGGAUGCCCUGGCAGUCAGAGGCGAUGAAGGGCGUGCUAAUCUGCGAUAAGCGCCGGUAAGGUGAUAUGAACCGUUAUAACCGGCGAUACCCGAAUGGGGAAACCCAGUGUGACUCGUCACACUAUCAUUAACUGAAUCCAUAGGUUAAUGAGGCGAACCGGGGGAACUGAAACAUCUAAGUACCCCGAGGAAAAGAAAUCAACCGAGAUUCCCCCAGUAGCGGCGAGCGAACGGGGAGGAGCCCAGAGCCUGAAUCAGCAUGUGUGUUAGUGGAAGCGUCUGGAAAGGCGCGCGAUACAGGGUGACAGCCCCGUACACAAAAGCGCAUGUGCUGUGAGCUCGAUGAGUAGGGCGGGACACGUGAUAUCCUGUCUGAAUAUGGGGGGACCAUCCUCCAAGGCUAAAUACUCCUGACUGACCGAUAGUGAACCAGUACCGUGAGGGAAAGGCGAAAAGAACCCCGGCGAGGGGAGUGAAAAAGAACCUGAAACCGUGUACGUACAAGCAGUGGGAGCACCCUUUUGGGUGUGACUGCGUACCUUUUGUAUAAUGGGUCAGCGACUUAUAUUCUGUAGCAAGGUUAACCGAAUAGGGGAGCCGGAGGGAAACCGAGUCUUAACCGGGCGUUAAGUUGCAGGGUAUAGACCCGAAACCCGGUGAUCUAGCCAUGGGCAGGUUGAAGGUUGGGUAACACUAACUGGAGGACCGAACCGACUAAUGUUGAAAAAUUAGCGGAUGACCUGUGGCUGGGGGUGAAAGGCCAAUCAAACCGGGAGAUAGCUGGUUCUCCCCGAAAGCUAUUUAGGUAGCGCCUCGUGAAUUCAUCUCCGGGGGUAGAGCACUGUUUCGGCUAGGGGGCCAUCCCGGCUUACCAACCCGAUGCAAACUGCGAAUACCGGAGAAUGUUAUCACGGGAGACACACGGCGGGUGCUAACGUCCGUCGUGAAGAGGGAAACAACCCAGACCGCCAGCUAAGGUCCCAAAGUCAUGGUUAAGUGGGAAACGAUGUGGGAAGGCCCAGACAGCCAGGAUGUUGGCUUAGAAGCAGCCAUCAUUUAAAGAAAGCGUAAUAGCUCACUGGUCGAGUCGGCCUGCGCGGAAGAUGUAACGGGGCUAAACCAUGCACCGAAGCUGCGGCAGCGAACGUAUCACUUAAAGCGAUUCAGCGGGUUACGAUUGACGGAGCGAAGCGACGUCAAAGCGUAUACAAAGUCGAGUCGGUUUAAGGAUACGUUCGUUGGGUAGGGGAGCGUUCUGUAAGCCUGUGAAGGUGUGUCGUGAGGCAUGCUGGAGGUAUCAGAAGUGCGAAUGCUGACAUAAGUAACGAUAAAGCGGGUGAAAAGCCCGCUCGCCGGAAGACCAAGGGUUCCUGUCCAACGUUAAUCGGGGCAGGGUGAGUCGACCCCUAAGGCGAGGCCGAAAGGCGUAGUCGAUGGGAAACGGGUUAAUAUUCCCGUACUUGGUGUUACUGCGAAGGGGGGACGGAGAAGGCUAUGUUGGCCGGGCGACGGUUGUCCCGGUUUAAGCGUGUAGGUGUGUGUUCCAGGUAAAUCCGGUUCACUUUAACACUGAGGCGUGACGACGAGGCACUACGGUGCUGAAGCAACAAAUGCCCUGCUUCCAGGAAAAGCCUCUAAGCAUCAGGUAACAUCAAAUCGUACCCCAAACCGACACAGGUGGUCAGGUAGAGAAUACCAAGGCGCUUGAGAGAACUCGGGUGAAGGAACUAGGCAAAAUGGUGCCGUAACUUCGGGAGAAGGCACGCUGACACGUAGGUGAAGUGAUUUACUCAUGGAGCUGAAGUCAGUCGAAGAUACCAGCUGGCUGCAACUGUUUAUUAAAAACACAGCACUGUGCAAACACGAAAGUGGACGUAUACGGUGUGACGCCUGCCCGGUGCCGGAAGGUUAAUUGAUGGGGUCAGCGCAAGCGAAGCUCCUGAUCGAAGCCCCGGUAAACGGCGGCCGUAACUAUAACGGUCCUAAGGUAGCGAAAUUCCUUGUCGGGUAAGUUCCGACCUGCACGAAUGGCGUAAUGAUGGCCAGGCUGUCUCCACCCGAGACUCAGUGAAAUUGAACUCGCUGUGAAGAUGCAGUGUACCCGCGGCAAGACGGAAAGACCCCGUGAACCUUUACUAUAGCUUGACACUGAACAUUGAGCCUUGAUGUGUAG
rnacentral:rRNA from 1 species